CGCAUGCAGCCAUACCGCGUGGGUGAGAAGGCCUUCGGGUUGUAAAGCCCUUUUGUUGGGAAAGAAAUCCAGCUGGCUAAUACCCGGUUGGGAUGACGGUACCCAAAGAAUAAGCACCGGCUAACUUCGUGCCAGCAGCCGCGGUAAUACGAAGGGUGCAAGCGUUACUCGGAAUUACUGGGCGUAAAGCGUGCGUAGGUGGUCGUUUAAGUCCGUUGUGAAAGCCCUGGGCUCAACCUGGGAACUGCAGUGGAUACUGGGCGACUAGAGUGUGGUAGAGGGUAGCGGAAUUCCUGGUGUAGCAGUGAAAUGCGUAGAGAUCAGGAGGAACAUCCAUGGCGAAGGCAGCUACCUGGACCAACACUGACACUGAGGCACGAAAGCGUGGGGAGCAAACAGGAUUAGAUACCCUGGUAGUCCACGCCCUAAACGAUGCGAACUGGAUGUUGGGUGCAAUUUUGGCACGCAGUAUCGAAGCUAACGCGUUAAGUUCGCCGCCUGGGGAGUACGGUCGCAAGACUGAACCUCAAGAGAAAAUUUUUGCACGGGAA
rnacentral:rRNA from 1 species